rnacentral:tRNA from 1 species
GGUUCCGUAGCCAAGGGGCUAAGGCAAUAGACUGCAACUCUGUGACCGCCAGUUCGAAUCUGGCCGGAACCUCCA